GACGAACGCUGGCGGCGUGCCUAAUACAUGCAAGUAGAACGCUGAAGAGAGGAGCUUGCUCUUCUUGGAUGAGUUGCGAACGGGUGAGUAACGCGUAGGUAACCUGCCUUGUAGCGGGGGAUAACUAUUUGAAACGAUGGCUAAUACCGCAUAACAAUGGAUGACACAUGUCAUUUAUUUGAAAGGGGCAAUUGCUCCACUACAAGAUGGACCUGCGUUGUAUUAGCUAGUAGGUGAGGUAAUGGCUCACCUAGGCGACGAUACAUAGCCGACCUGAGAGGGUGAUCGGCCACACUGGGACUGAGACACGGCCCAGACUCCUACGGGAGGCAGCAGUAGGGAAUCUUCGGCAAUGGGGGCAACCCUGACCGAGCAACGCCGCGUGAGUGAAGAAGGUUUUCGGAUCGUAAAGCUCUGUUGUAAGUCAAGAACGGGUGUGAGAGUGGAAAGUUCACACUGUGACGGUAGCUUAACAGAAAGGGACGGCUAACUACGUG
rnacentral:rRNA from 1 species